GUUUUCAUCGUUGGGGAUAUUUAAGAGAUGUGUGGAUGUGGUACUAAGGGAUAUGGUUUAGUGAUGGGACUCAGUUGGACUCAAUGACCUUGAAGGUAAUUUCCAACUAAAUGAGUCUAUGAUUCCACAUUUAUGUAAGCAAUUGAUGUUUUUUUUUUAGAUUCAAUUGAGUUGAAAAAUUGGAAGAGCAUCAUAAGGAUCAGGUCACCUUCAAAUGCCUUUGUACCUUAUUUAAGCUAAAAGAGACAAAAAGAAAAAGAAAAAAAGAAAAAAGAAGAGUAGAAAGAUGAAGAAUGUUCCUGGUGUCAUGUAAUUGCAUGGUAGCUGUUACCAGAAAGGCAUGUAUGCAGGAACUGGGAUCUGCUGAUGUGUAUCUGAAUUUCACUCUGAUAUUGUGAGAAGGCAUGAAACCAAUGUUAUGUGAAAGCAAUUUGAAAUUAAUUUCUUUGCUAUAUUGUCUCCCACCUCCCUGGUCAAAUUCCUCCUUGCACUUGGAAAGGCACAGUGGGAAAGUAGCAGCUUGUUGACAAGUAUUUGCCACAGAGGUAUAUGACUACUCAAAUUCCAACUCUUAAGAGAACAUUGAGGCUCAAGAGCUUCCCAGAACUGAACAUAUUCCUUACAAAGCAUCAAUGUCUGAAGGUACCUGCAAGAGAGUCAAAACUUAAAGAUGCAAUAUGAACCUUAAGGAAAGUUUUUCUACAUUUGGAAAUGCUUCAGGGCAAUGUGAGCUGAGUAGUUACUGCGUGCUGGGGACUGUUUCCAGAAAUACGGAGUUCUGGAUGUUUAUCACACAGAGCAGCUGAAGUGAGCUUUCAGGAAGGUCUGUAAUAAGCAACAGAUAAGGACACAUCUAGAAGAAUAAAUCAUCACCUUUUCAUUUAAGAGAAAGCA
rnacentral:lncRNA from 1 species